rnacentral:rRNA from 1 species
GUGAAAUUUUUAAUUAAAAAAAAGUUCUUUUAGCGAUUUAUUGGGGGCUAAAAAGUUUAGGUGAAAAACCAGGAUUAGAUACCCUGCUAUUCUAAAUAAUGAAUUAAAUGGGGUAGUAAAAGUUGUUCUUCAAACCCAAAGAUUUUGGCGGCAUCCUAUCCUAAUAGAGGAGCUUGCCCUGUAAUUGAUAAUCCUCAUUUUAUCUUACCUCUCUUUGUUAAGUUUGUAUACCGCCGUUGUCGGAUUACUUUAAAAGAAUGUUUUCAAGAAAAGUAUUUUUUUUACUUCAGGUCAAGGUGCAGUCUAUGGAGAGGCAGAGGUGAGCUACAAUUUAUAAUAAAAAAACGGAUCUUGGGCUUAAAAACCGGGGAAGGUGGAUUUAUCAGUAAAUUUAUUUAAGUAUAAUAAGUUGAAUCGGGCAAUAGGAUGUGCACAUAUCGCCCGUCACUCUCUUCUUNAGAGGAGAUAA